AGGUGAAGAGCUUCUUUCAGACUCCUUCCUCUACAAGUAACUAUUGAAUGGGUUCCUAUGAGAAGUUGAAGAAAAGUUAUGGAUAAUGAAAACAAUGCUCCUUCGUUAUUAAAGUCGAUUGAGGACUAUGAUCCUAUAUUUUUCGAAUUGUUCGUCGAC